UGAAAGUGACUUAAUCAUAUUUAGAACAUACACAAAGAGAUGGGGCAUCCUGGUACAAUGUGACACAGCCAAUGAAACUGAGUGUCCAGGUUCCCCCACUGUAAAGCUAAAAAGCAGAACUAAUUACACUAAGUGGAACAACAGCCUAGGUGAAAAUGUCACAAUUAAUGGCAGCGUUAGGGUAUGCAAAAAAAAUUAGGCAUGCCGAUAGACAAAGUGUUCAAGAGAAUUUGGAAAGGGCUGUUUAAACUACUGGUCAAAAUAAGUAAACUGGUCCUAACAAUUACCUGGUCAAUCUUCAAGGGGAUCAGAUGGUUGAUAAAGGGACUGAUCAUCUGGAGCAUGGUAUAUGAGAGAGUGCAUCCUCCUAGAAGACAGGGACCAGCAGUUCCUGUUGAACAGGAUGUACUGCUCAUGACCCCGAGAGUAACGGAUGUGACUCAAGUUUAAGGGGCAGAAAGGUGAAUAAAUAAGAGAGCCCCCAGCCGCUCAGAUCACAAACACUCUCCUGCUCAGAGACACAGAGGCAUCCUGCUCUUCACACAACGCAACUCAACAACCAGAUUAACUUUAGGCAGUGAAAACUUAAAGCUAUCCUCUACCAUGACUUCCAACGAAACUGACCAUGACGCCUCGACUGAGGCAUGCAGUCCCUUCACUGACCAGCAGGACCAGGAGGAACACGACAAGCCAUGGAAUGGGGGCCCCAUGGAAGACACCCAGUCCGGGGAAGAAGAUUGGGAAGAAGAAGAAGUUAAUAGGUUAAUAGGCCAAUAAGGCACAGAGUAAUGACCCGGCUUGUCACCAAAAGCACUCACAAACUUCUACAGAUGCACAAUCGAGAGCAUCCUGGCGGGCUGUAUCACCGCCUGGUACGGCAACUGCUCCGCCCUCAACCGUAAGGCUCUCCAGAGGGUAGUGAGGUCUGCACAACGCAUCACCGGGGGCAAACUACCUGCCCUCCAGGACACCUACACCACCCGAUGUUACAGGAAGGCCAUAAAGAUCAUCAAGGACAUCAACCACCCGAACCACUGCCUGUUCACCCCGCUAUCAUCCAGAAGGCGAGGUCAGUACAGGUGCAUCAAAGCUGGGACUGAGAGACUGAAAAACAGCUUCUAUCUCAAGGCUAUCAGACUGUUAAACAGCCACCAUUGAGUGGCUGCUGCCAACACACUGUCAUUGACACUGACCCAACUCCAGCCACUUUAAUAAUGGGAAUUGAUGGGAAAUGAUGUAAAUAUAUCACUAGCCACUUUAAACAAUGCUACCUUAUAUAAUGUUACUUACCCUACAUUAUUCAUCUCAUAUGCAUACGUAUAUACUGUACUCUACAUCAUCGACUGCAUCCUUAUGUAAUACAUGUAUCACUAGCCACUUUAACUAUGCCACUUUGUUUACUUUGUCUACAUACUCAUCUCAUAUGUAUAUACUGUACUCGAUACCAUCUACUGUAUGCUGCUCUGUACCAUCACUCAUUCAUAUAUCCUUAUGUACAUAUUCCUUAUCCCCUUACACUGUGUAUAAGACAGUAGUUUUAGAAUUGUUAGUUAGAUUACUUGUUGGUUAUCACUGCAUUGUCGGAACUAGAAGCACAAGCAUUUCACUACACUCGCAUUAACAUCUGCUAACCAUGUGUAUGUGACAAAUAACAUUUGAUUUGAUUUGAUUUGAUGGCAAGAAUUAGAAAGUGAGGGUAUGCCAGAGUUUCCAGAUACUAGGAAUUAUCCUGUAGGAUGGAUAGCACCGGUAAUAAUAAUUCCUCACCCAGACGCUUUUAAAACCUGUGGCUCAUGUGAUAGAAGUACUGAAGGGGUACUCAGCGGGAGAUUAAUGUUAAGAGGACGAAUGUUAGACAACGUAUGUAUGUUAUGUCUAGCCCGCAGAGAUAAGUGGCCAACCCUAAAACCCAUAGUGAACAAGGGAAACAGAUGGGGACAUGUAGAAGAGCCAGAAGAGUUAAAUUUAACAAUCGUUUACAAGGGACAAGAAGUAGACUGGGAUAAGAGAACUGGCACUGUUGAAUUACAUGGGAUGGCUUACAAGACCUAUUCAACAGGUUGGAGAAGAAGGACAACAGAGACGGGUUCAAAUAUGCACAGGCUGUGAAUCAGGAACCAGAGGAAAGUACACCACCCAGUGGGGAAAUGAGGAUGGUGUUAGAGUGCCGCUUUGCAAGAGAUGUUUAUGCUUUAAGAGUUGCGCUAGAAAAAGGCAGGAGUGGUAUAGCGAGGACAAACAUGAGGUUUGGCCUAUGGAGAGAGAAUAUGCUGAUAUAUUUGAACAUGGUAGAAUAGCUACUAGAUGUAGACAUACAGAUGGUGUAUAUUUGAGAAUGAGGGACAGAGCUGAUAAUUAGGCAACAAUGCCGGGACAUCGUAGCUGGGCAACAGUAUGGGGAAUAACGGCUAGGUCAGACGGACUAGAGCUAGGGAUAACCAGAGUUGGAAAUCAGAGUCCGGUUAAAGGCACUAAGAGAAAAGAGACAGGGGAGGGUGUAGUAAAAUGCCAAAUGGAUCUACCUCCUGGUCCUCUUCCCCUGUCUUACCCACCAAGGGUAGAGACAGAGAUGACCUUGCCUACUGAAAUACCGGAUUGGGCAAAGCCACCAGAAGACGACUCAAGCCAACCAACUAUUGAACCUGACUGGUGUCAGGAAGAAUCACCCUCUGCCUCAAGUGACACCUCUGAAUAGGAACAGCUGAUAGACUCAUUGCUGAUAGAGUAAGGGCACUGUCAUAAACAGAGGCCCAUAUCCGCACUGUAAGAAAAGUAUUUCCUGUUGUAAGAUAUGUCAUCACCCUCUCUGCUCUGAGGGAAUGGGAGGAGCAGUGGAUCGGGAGCAGAGAAUCAAAAGGUAUAUAAAGAGACAUUUGCCAUUACUUUGGCGCUGACUUCUUGAAUUCUGAAUUCAUUUAGACAACCAUUUGACUUCGGGUAAAUUGACACCUGACUCAAAUUACUUAAAGAUUCUAACUUGUUGGAUCUGAGAAGGGACUUUCCAAUAUACCGUUUAACUAUUGAACAGCUGUUUUGUCACAUAUUGACCAGGUGCGUGUGUCUCAUAACCUCGGCCUCGUCGCGUGCCACGGACGCUGAGGUAGUUCAAUGGGACUGAGAGUCACUCUAGUCCUUUAGUUGUCCUUUAGUUGAUCUCUUGUUUAUACCUAUGGUUAUCUGAAUUGACCCUGUAAGCACAUUGACCAGGUGCGUGUGUCUCAGAACCU